rnacentral:rRNA from 1 species
AUUGAACGCUGGCGGCAGGCUUUACACAUGCAAGUCGAACGGUAACAGGCCGCAAGGUGCUGGCGAGUGGGGCACGGGGGAGUAAUACAUCUGGACGUCCCCCUGCUAGGGGGGGAACUACUCGGGAGAGUGGCUCAUAUCGCGUAUGAGCUAUGAGUGAAAGAGUGGGGGAGUUACGGCCCUCGCGAUUUCAGCUGCGGCUGUGUCAGAUUAGCUAGUUGGUGGGGUAAAGGCCUACCACGGCGACGAUCCGUAACUGGUCUGAGAGGAUGAUCAGUCACACUGGAACUGAGACACGGCCCAGACUCCUACGGGAGGCAGCAGUGGGGAAUAUUGGACAAUGGGCGAAAGCCUGAUCCAGCCAUGCCGCGUGCAGGAAGAAGGCCUUCGGGUUGUAAAGUGCUUUUGUACGGAAGGAAACGGAUCUAGUUAAUACCCGGCGCUAAUGACGGUACCGUCAGAAUAAGCACCGGCUAACUACGUG